GUUUCCUCUGAUUUUCAACAAAAAACAACAACCGACAAUUGAGGAAAGAGAGUCCAAUCUCAGAGGUAAAAGUUGAGGGCCAUGGCUCGUGGGCAUCAGAAAAUUCAGUCUCAGCAGAAGAAUGCAAAGAAGGCAGCAGAGAAGAAGAAAGGUCAGGCCGCUGACCAGAAGACUUCAGCGAUGGUCGCUCUGGUCCACACCUGCCCGGUCUGCCGGACGCAGAUGCCCGACCCCAAGACCUUCAAGCAGCACUUUGAGAGCAAACACCCCAAGUCCCCCAUGCCCCCCGAGCUGGUGGACGUUCAGGCCUGAAGAACUGCUGACUGGACACAACCCUGGUGAGGACGCGUUCUAUCGGCAGACGUUGACCGGGUGGAAGAGGCUUUUAAAAGAGUUUGAGCGGUACUCCAACCACAAAAGACCCGACUGCAAAAGAAUAGACCUGCAACCCAUUAGUAAACAAACCCACCUGGUGAAUCGAGCCCGUCCGAGCUAGAAGAACAUGUGUUGGAGUUGCAAAUGACGGUGGCCUGAAGGGACAUUUCACACAACAACUCUGCCUGUUCUAAUGACAGCGACCAGAACUCGGUUAGGAGCAGCGGACCAAACACACGUCUGUGUCGCCGUCUCCAUCAGCGGCUCGUUGCAGAUACACAAUGACCACGGACUAAACAUUGGACCACUGCGCCUGAAGGAUGUUGAUGACGAACACUGGGACCGUUGGUAUUCAUGGUCGACCUGAUGGGAUGGAGGGAUGGGCGGUGUACGAGAAAACAAAGACGGGGGCGCUACUUACACCAGCACCCCCACUUUUAUAUUUAUUAUGUACAACCACAUGGAGGAGGGGCUAACACUGAAUAAAAAUGAUCUUGUGACUAAUUAACGGAGAUGUGAUGAGUCUGGGAAUACGACCGCGGGAAGGAGAAGAAAAAAUAUUUUUGAAUAUGUGGCUAUCUAUGAAUAGAUUUCACACUAAAACCCCGACUAGCAACCCGUAGCUCACCGGCAAAGAUCACAAAUGCAACCUAAACAAAUUUACUUUUCUCAUCUGUGUACUUGAAUUGAGCCGCGAGAAUACAUCAGUGGCCCAAUAUUUAAUGUAAACAUGCAGCCACCAGGCUUCGUGACGCUGUCAAACGUUUUGAUUUAAUGUUUAAAGCUUGCUAGCUUCUGGAUGCCACUAACAUUGACAAUGUGCGCGCGUAUUUUGUAUAACGUCUGCAGUAGAAGGGUCUAUUUAAUCACUACUGCUACGUUCCUUGUAGCUCUGAGCAUUUUAUUUUCACUCAUAAGUACUACAGGCCUCUAAACAAGACCAACACGUUCGUGACGAUUGGCCGGUCAGAACUCCUGCUGUGUGUUUUAGUUUCUGAAAAGAUGGAGACUAUACUCUAAGUAUUUCUUCAAGCCUCGACAGCGUUGGCUCCCCAGGUGCGUCAGGAGCCCCUCACCUUGCGUUAGUCUCACGGGACGUCGGUCUGUCCCCUCUCAGAUUAUUCUACGUUCUCCUCCGCUAUGUCCCCGAUAUUGGCAAUAACACAUCCACGUCCCACUUCAGUGAACCAGGACGCUGCCGAGUCCUCUUCCACUUCAGAAGAAACUAUAAUCGGCCCAAAUGACCCGGAGUUAAAGAACUGUUAAAGAACUGCAGACAUAAUAAUCCCUGUUGGUUCUAUGUAUAUUCAGAACACACAUUUGCUCACUACUUCUUUUUUUGUUGUUUUACCCUUUUCAAUAAAUUGAACAAUGUAUAUAAUGUUA